rnacentral:miRNA from 1 species
AGGUGGGAGGAUCACUUGAGUCCAAGAGUUUGAGGCUGCAGUGAGCUAUGAUCAUACCACUGCACUCCAGCCUGAGUGACAGAGCAAUACCCUGUCUC